CAAAUACUCCCUCCGUCCGGAAAUACUUGUCAUCAAAAUGGAUAAAAGGAAAUGUAUCUAGACGUAUUUUAGUUUUAGAUACAUAUCUUUUUAUCCAUUUUGAUGACAAGUAUUUUCGGACGGAAGGAGUAUUUA
rnacentral:pre_miRNA from 1 species